rnacentral:lncRNA from 1 species
UGGUGCUAUGAGUGUCUACUGAUUUCUUUGUUUGUUUGCUCUUUAAGCUGGGCUUUGGUCGAUGGCCUGGUUUUUUGGUCUUGUAAGAUUCCAGGCUAUGUGCUUAGACUUUCCACCUAGCGGACUUUGGACUAUGUCCUGUUCUUGUAAUACUUGGCUCUUGCAAUCACUUGUGAUUGUGAAGGCCGAAAUGUUUCAUUCCUUAAUCUAAAAAAAUAAAAUAAAGAUAAU